rnacentral:rRNA from 1 species
AGCCGCCGCGGUAAUACCAGCACCCCGAGUGGUCGGGACGAUUAUUGGGCCUAAAGCAUCCGUAGCCGGUCUUGCAAGUCUUCCGUUAAAUCCAGCUGCUUAACAGAUGGGCUGCGGAGGAUACUACAAGGCUAGGAGGCGGGAGAGGCAAGCGGUACUCAGUGGGUAGGGGUAAAAUCCUCUGAUCCAUUGAAGACCACCAGUGGCGAAGGCGGCUUGCCAGAACGCGCUCGACGGUGAGGGAUGAAAGCUGGGGGAGCAAACCGGAUUAGAUACCCGGGUAGUCCCAGCUGUAAACGAUGCAGACUCGGUGAUGGGCCGGCUUUAUGCCGGCUCAGUGCCGCAGGGAAGCCGUUAAGUCUGCCGCCUGGGGAGUACGGUCGCAAGACUGAAACUUAA